rnacentral:rRNA from 1 species
CUUAACACAUGCAAGUCGAGGGGUAUUAGUUUUCGGACUAAGAGACCGGCGCACGGGUGCGUAACGCGUAUGCAAUCUACCUUUUACAGAGGGAUAGCCCAGAGAAAUUUGGAUUAAUACCUCAUAGUAUAGCAGUUUCGCAUGAAACCACUAUUAAAGUCACAACGGUAAAAGAUGAGCAUGCGUCCCAUUAGCUAGUUGGUAAGGUAACGGCUUACCAAGGCUACGAUGGGUAGGGGUCCUGAGAGGGAGAUCCCCCACACUGGUACUGAGACACGGACCAGACUCCUACGGGAGGCAGCAGUGAGGAAUAUUGGACAAUGGGCGCAAGCCUGAUCCAGCCAUGCCGCGUGCAGGAUGACGGUCCUAUGGAUUGUAAACUGCUUUUGUACGAGAAGAAACACUCCUAUGUAUAGGAGCUUGACGGUAUCGUAAGAAUAAGGAUCGGCUAACUCCGUGCCAGCAGCCGCGGUAAUACGGAGGAUCCAAGCGUUAUCCGGAAUCAUUGGGUUUAAAGGGUCCGUAGGCGGUUUAGUAAGUCAGUGGUGAAAGCCCAUCGCUCAACGGUGGAACGGCCAUUGAUACUGCUGAACUUGAAUUAUUAGGAAGUAACUAGAAUAUGUAGUGUAGCGGUGAAAUGCUUAGAGAUUACAUGGAAUACCAAUUGCGAAGGCAGG